GGAGAGGUGCUAGAGUGGACGAAUAGGCGCGCCUGGAAAGCGCGUAGGCUGGGCAACUGGUCUCGCGGGUUCGAAUCCCGCCCUCUCCGCCA
rnacentral:tRNA from 1 species